CUGAUUCAGCGGCGGACGGGUGAGUAAUGCCUAGGAAUCUGCCCGAUAGUGGGGGACAACGUUUCGAAAGGAACGCUAAUACCGCAUACGUCCUACGGGAGAAAGUGGGGGAUCUUCGGACCUCACGCUAUCGGAUGAGCCUAGGUCGGAUUAGCUAGUUGGUGAGGUAAUGGCUCACCAAGGCGACGAUCCGUAACUGGUCUGAGAGGAUGAUCAGUCACACUGGAACUGAGACACGGUCCAGACUCCUACGGGAGGCAGCAGUGGGGAAUAUUGGACAAUGGGCGAAAGCCUGAUCCAGCCAUGCCGCGUGUGUGAAGAAGGUCUUCGGAUUGUAAAGCACUUUAAGUUGGGAGGAAGGGCAGUAAGCUAAUACCUUGCUGUUUUGACGUUACCAACAGAAUAAGCACCGGCUAACUUCGUGCCAGCAGCCGCGGUAAUACGAAGGGUGCAAGCGUUAAUCGGAAUUACUGGGCGUAAAGCGCGCGUAGGUGGUUCAGCAAGUUGGAUGUGAAAUCCCCGGGCUCAACCUGGGAACUGCAUCCAAAACUACUGAGCUAGAGUACGGUAGAGGGUGGUGGAAUUUCCUGUGUAGCGGUG
rnacentral:rRNA from 1 species